GAAAUGCGAUAAGUAAUGUGAAUUGCAGAAUUCCGUGAAUCAUCGAAUCUUUGAACGCAGAUUGCGCCCUCUGGCAUUCCGGGGGGCAUGCCUGUCCGAGCGUCAUUACGCACCCUCAAGCCCGGCUUGUGUGAUGGGCCCCGGCGUCUCGUUCGCGAGACGGGCCCGAAAGGCAGCGGCGGCGUCGACCCGAUGAGCCCGAGCGUAUGGGGACUUCUGUCACACGUUCGCGGUGCGGACCGGCGCCUGCUUGACUUUUCUGAUUAUCCAGGUUGACCUCGGAUCAGGUAGGGAUACCCGCUGAACUUAAGC
rnacentral:misc_RNA from 1 species